rnacentral:tRNA from 1 species
GGGCGCUUAGCUCAGUCGGUAGAGCAUCUGACUUUUAAUCAGAGGGUCGUAGGUUCGAUCCCUACAGCGCCCACCA